rnacentral:rRNA from 2 species
GCUAUACAUGCAAGUCGAGCGAACAGAUGAGAAGCUUGCUUCUCUGAUGUUAGCGGCGGACGGGUGAGUAACACGUGGGUAACCUACCUAUAAGACUGGGAUAACUCCGGGAAACCGGGGCUAAUACCGGAUAAUAUUUUGAACCGCAUGGUUCAAUAGUGAAAGACGGUUUCGGCUGUCACUUAUAGAUGGACCCGCGCCGUAUUAGCUAGUUGGUAAGGUAAUGGCUUACCAAGGCGACGAUACGUAGCCGACCUGAGAGGGUGAUCGGCCACACUGGAACUGAGACACGGUCCAGACUCCUACGGGAGGCAGCAGUAGGGAAUCUUCCGCAAUGGGCGAAAGCCUGACGGAGCAACGCCGCGUGAGUGAUGAAGGUCUUCGGAUCGUAAAACUCUGUUGUUAGGGAAGAACAAAUUUGUUAGUAACUGAACAAGUCUUGACGGUACCUAACCAGAAAGCCACGGCUAACUACGUGCCAGCAGCCGCGGUAAUACGUAGGUGGCAAGCGUUAUCCGGAAUUAUUGGGCGUAAAGCGCGCGUAGGCGGUUUCUUAAGUCUGAUGUGAAAGCCCACGGCUCAACCGUGGAGGGUCAUUGGAAACUGGGAAACUUGAGUGCAGAAGAGGAGAGUGGAAUUCCAUGUGUAGCGGUGAAAUGCGCAGAGAUAUGGAGGAACACCAGUGGCGAAGGCGGCUCUCUGGUCUGUAACUGACGCUGAUGUGCGAAAGCGUGGGGAUCAAACAGGAUUAGAUACCCUGGUA